GUGUUACUCCCUCCGUCCGGAAUUACUUGUCAUCAAAAUGGAUGAAAAUGGAUGUAUCUACAUCCAUUUCAAUGACAAGUAUUUCCGGACGGAGGGAGUACAUG
rnacentral:pre_miRNA from 1 species